rnacentral:lncRNA from 1 species
CUCACUGUAUGACCCGCUACGGUCGUGGUCUGCUGGUAUAUCCGCUUUAUGAUUUAACAGAAAUAGACAAAACGCGUCGAGAGAAAAAGUUCGAAGAUCAUUGUUACCGAUAGCCAUCGCCGCUCGACACGCCAAAAUUAGAAAACAGGCUGACUGUCGAGCCGUUGUCGAGAUUUAAUUCACUCAGGGUCAUGAUUGUGUCGAUGCGGUAGUUGUGUUGAUUCGGAUAGCGCAGGACACGGAUAUAUAAUCAAGCAACGCGCUGGAUUGAUUCGACUACUCCAAAGUAUAAGCGAGUACUGGCUAUGUGACACAAGUCACGCGGAAAGACAACGUGACAUUUGAGUGCGGUUCGUUGUCUUCUUCGUUGGCCUGCCACCGCGUCACGUAGCACAUGGGAGAAGGGAGCGCCGCUCCAGGGUGAUGUGAAGCCUUCUGCAGAAGAGCGGACAUGCUCCAUCCUUCUACACAUAUAUACCAAGUAAUGCAAAACCUGGCACCUUACGCUUUUCCCGUUUUACGUCCGGUAUCGCCGUUAGGCAUUCCAUUAGACGCGUGACUCCCAGCACGAAACGAAGUCUGUCCGUGCCCGGGCUCGAACCCAGGCGACAACAUGUCCUUAAGGUCAGCAGGCAAGGGCAUCAUCCACUGACCUAUCACCAGGACCAAGUUUAACCUAAAGCCAGUUUAGACCUGUUCAACUUAAAUUUGAAUUCACUGUAAUUGGUCUAUCAGACGUUUCGUGUCACUGCCUUGUCGGUAUUUCUGUGCUUCGUUAUAGUUUUUUCUGUCGCUCUGUUUCAACGGGUCUACUGAAUAGUUAUUCUAUCAUAAGUCUUCCUGAUCGCGCUGAAUUCCGUUAUGCUGUUUCAGUUGUUCAUUUACA